rnacentral:rRNA from 1 species
GAGAGUUUGAUCCUGGCUCAGAUUGAACGCUGGCGGCAUGCCUUACACAUGCAAGUCGAACGGUAACGCGGGGCAACCUGGCGACGAGUGGCGAACGGGUGAGUAAUAUAUCGGAACGUGCCCAGUAGUGGGGGAUAGCCCGGCGAAAGCCGGAUUAAUACCGCAUGAGACCUGAGGGUGAAAGCGGGGGAUCGCAAGACCUCGCGCUAUUGGAGCGGCCGAUAUCAGAUUAGCUAGUUGGUGGGGUAAAGGCCUACCAAGGCAACGAUCUGUAGUUGGUCUGAGAGGACGACCAGCCACACUGGGACUGAGACACGGCCCAGACUCCUACGGGAGGCAGCAGUGGGGAAUUUUGGACAAUGGGCGCAAGCCUGAUCCAGCAAUGCCGCGUGCAGGAAGAAGGCCUUCGGGUUGUAAACUGCUUUUGUCAGGGAAGAAAUCUUCUGGGUUAAUACCUCGGGAGGAUGACGGUACCUGAAGAAUAAGCACCGGCUAACUAC